GGAUUAGAUACCCUGGUAGUCCACACCGUAAACGCUGUCUACUAGCUGUAUGCGGAUUCAUUUCUGUGUGUAGCGAAGCUAACGCGCUAAGUAGACCGCCUGGGGAGUACGGCCGCAAGGUUAAAACUCAAAUGAAUUGACGGGGGCCCGCACAAGCGGUGGAGCAUGUGGUUUAAUUCGAUGCAACGCGAAGAACCUUACCUACACUUGACAUGCUGAGAAGUUUUUAGAGAUAGAAACGUGCCUUCGGGAACUCAGACACAGGUGCUGCAUGGCUGUCGUCAGCUCGUGCCG
rnacentral:rRNA from 1 species